rfam:Picea glauca, whole genome shotgun sequence.
AUAAUGGUGUCUUUAGACACCACCUGUUUUAUUUGAAGGUUAUUC